CCAUUUGGCUGGUGUGCAGCGAGAGUCACUUCAGCGUGCUCUUCAGCACGCGGAAGGAUUUACUUGGGGACUGGAAGACCGAGCGGCGCUUUGACCUGUAUUACUACGAUGGCUUGUCCAAUCAGCAGGAGGAGAUCCGCCUCACAGUCGAUACAUCUCAGCCUUUCCUCGAAGACCAAGAGAGUGACCUUACACCUCCAUUGGAACACUGCAUUAGGACCAAGUGGAAAGGAGCCGUCGUGAACUGGAACGGCACGGAACCCAUCCUGUGAUCGACCGACCCGCCCCGACCGACCGAAAAGAAGCCCAGUUCCCAUACUCAGAGGAAGCCGAACCAGCCAAUGCACCUUCUUUUGUUGCCUGCGACGGGACCGGAGGACAGGGGAGGGGAGGGGAGAUGGCACGGUUUCAUCUCGGGCUCCAUCCAUUGUGUUAGCGGCAGAGGCACGGAACUGGAGCCGCUUCCCUUUUCUGUGCACCGCGUGUGAGAAAGCGGAGGACCAACCUUGACGGCCAAAAAACGAGCGGCCGGGGAAGAGCCGUAAAUCUGUCCACAGCUCCGUCUCUGCCUCCACUCCUUUGUGUCCUGCCAUUGUCUCCCGAGGAUCAACCAAACAAUGCUGACGACGCCCACCUUUUCUCUUUUCAGCCUUGGCCUGCUUUUCCGCCACCUCCAUUCUAAAUCAAGGCGAACCGAAGCGUAGAC